rnacentral:piRNA from 5 species
UAUGAGAACUACGUGGCCAAGCGCAUCCCU